UACGUAGGGGGCAAGCGUUGUCCGGAAUUAUUGGGCGUAAAGAGCGUGUAGGCGGCCCGGUAAGUCAGCUGUGAAAGUCAAGGGCUCAACCCUUGAAAGCCGGUUGAUACUGUCGGGCUAGAGUCCGGAAGAGGCGAGUGGAAUUCCCGGUGUAGCGGUGAAAUGCGCAGAUAUCGGGAGGAACACCAAUGGCGAAGGCAGCUCGCUGGGACGGUACUGACGCUGAGACGCGAAAGCGUGGGGAGCAAACAGG
rnacentral:rRNA from 1 species